rnacentral:rRNA from 1 species
UACGGAGGGUGCAAGCGUUGCUCGGAAUUAUUGGGCGUAAAGGGUAGGUAGGUGGUCUCAUUUGUCUGGGGUGAAAGCCUUGAGCUUAACUCAAGAAGUGCCCCAGAAACGGUGAGACUGGAGUCCUGGAGAGGGUCGUGGAAUUCCCGGUGUAGCGGUGAAAUGCGUAGAGAUCGGGAGGAACACCAGAGGCGAAAGCGGCGACCUGGACAGGAACUGACACUCAACUACGAAAGCGUGGGUAGCAAACAGG